AUUGAACGCUGGCGGCAGGCCUAACACAUGCAAGUCGAACGAGUGGCGGACGGGUGAGUAAUGUCUGGGAAACUGCCCGAUGGAGGGGGAUAACUACUGGAAACGGUAGCUAAUACCGCAUACCAUCGGAUGUGCCCAGAUGGGAGUAGCUUGUAGGUGAGGUAACGGCUCACCUAGGCGACGCUCCCUAGCUGGUCUGAGAGGAUGACCAGCUACACGGGAACGUAGACACGGUCCAGGCCCCGACGGGAUGCAGCAGUGGGGAAUAUUGCACAGUGGGCGCAAGCCUGAUGCAGCCAUGCCGGGUGUAUGAAGAAGGCCUUCGGGUUGUAAAGUACUUUCAGCGGGGGGCUUUACCCGCAGAAGAAGCACCGGCUAACUCCGUGCCAGCAGCCGCGGUAAUAC
rnacentral:rRNA from 1 species